rnacentral:rRNA from 4 species
UAAAACCAGCACCUCAAGUGGUCAGGAUGAUUAUUGGGCCUAAAGCAUCCGUAGCCGGCUUUGUAAGUUUUCGGUUAAAUCCAUGUGCUCAACGCAUGGGCUGCCGAAAAUACUGCAUGGCUAGGGAGUGGGAGAGGUAGACGGUACUCAGUAGGAAGGGGUAAAAUCCUUUGAUCUAUUGAUGACCACCUGUGGCGAAGGCGGUCUACCAGAACACGUUCGACGGUGAGGGAUGAAAGCUGGGGGAGCAAACCGGAUUAGAUACCCGGGUAGUCCCAGCUGUAAACGAUGCAGACUCGAUGAUGCAUUGGCAUAAUAGCCAGUGCAGUGUCGCAGGGAAGCCGUUAAGUCUGCCGCCUGGGAAGUACGUACGCAAGUAUG